rnacentral:rRNA from 1 species
CUUUGGGAUAACCCUCGGAAACGGGGGCUAAUACCGGAUAUGACUUCGCAUCGCAUGGUGUGGGGUGGAAAGUUUUUUCGGCCUGGGAUGGGCUCGCGGCCUAUCAGCUUGUUGGUGGGGUGAUGGCCUACCAAGGCGACGACGGGUAGCCGGCCUGAGAGGGCGACCGGCCACACUGGGACUGAGACACGGCCCAGACUCCUACGGGAGGCAGCAGUGGGGAAUAUUGCACAAUGGGCGGAAGCCUGAUGCAGCGACGCCGCGUAAGGGAUGACGGCCUUCGGGUUGUAAACCUCUUUCAGCAGGGACGAAGCGUAAGUGACGGUACCUGCAGAAGAAGCGCCGGCCAACUACGUGCCAGCAGCCGCGGUAAGACGUAGGGCGCGAGCGUUGUCCGGAUUUAUUGGGCGUAAAGAGCUCGUAGGCGGUUUGUCGCGUCGACUGUGAAAACCCGCAGCUCAACUGCGGGCCUGCAGUCGAUACGGGCAGGCUAGAGUUCGGUAGGGGGGACUGGAAUUCCUGGUGUAGCGGUGAAAUGCGCAGAUAUCAGGAGGAACACCGGUGGCGAAGGCGGGUCUCUGGGCCGAUACUGACGCUGAGGAGCGAAAGCGUGGGGAGCGAACAGGAUUAGAUACCAUGGUAGUCCACGCUGUAAACGUUGGGCGC